rnacentral:lncRNA from 1 species
AUGAUUAAAAUCUUUUUUAAAUCUAAUAUGAUUAGAAGAUUCUAGUUUGAACUUAGUUCAUCUAUUUCCAUAAGGCAGGGCAAUCCCUCUCCUCUUCCCCUUUUAGUCUCAAUUGCAUUGAUCCUUUGGUCGCCUCUCUUUAUUGUGCUAAACCUUCUUAGUUUUUAGAACAUAUUAGAAAAUACAGCCUCUCCCGGGAAUAACAAUAGCAGUUAUACUUAUGAACUUUCUUCCUC